GCGAUCGUGGCGAAAUUGGUAGCACGCGCAACGUUGAGGGCGUUGUGGAACGGAAGUUCCGUGGAGGUUCAAGUCCUCUCGAUCGCACCA
rnacentral:tRNA from 1 species